rnacentral:rRNA from 1 species
UACGUAGGUGGCAAGCGUUGUCCGGAUUUAUUGGGUUUAAAGGGUGCGUAGGCGGUGACCUAAGUCAGUUGUGAAAUACUUCAGCUUAACUGGAGAGGUGCAAUUGAUACUGGGUUACUUGAGUACUGAUGAGGUAUGCGGAAUGGACGGUGUAGCGGUGAAAUUCAUAGAUAUUAGGAAGAACACCGGUGGCGAAGGCGGCCCACUGGACCCGAUCUGACGCUGAGGCGCGAAAGCCAGGGGAGCGAACGGG